GGCUAACGCUGGCGGCGUGUCUUAGCCAUGCAAGUCGAGCGGACUUAUGGGGUAACUUAUAAGUCAGCGGCGGACGGCGGAGUAACACGUAGCUAACCUACCCUCUGGACGGGGAUAACCUACCGAAAGGUGGGCUAAUACCCGAUGUAGUCAUCCUGUAUAGGGGUGAUGAAAGGUGGGCUUCUGUUUACAAGCUCAUGCUGGAGGAGGGGGCUGCGGCCUAUCAGGUAGUUGGUAGGGGUAAUAGCCUACCAAGCCGAUGACGGGUAGCCGGCCUGAGAGGGUGACCGGCCCGAGGGGCACUGAGAUACGGGUCCCACUCCUACGGGAGGCAGCAGGCUAGAAAUUUGGGCAAUGGGGGAAACCCUGACCCAGUGACGCCGCGUGCAGGAAGGAGCCCUUCGGGGUGUAAACUGCUGUCGUGUAGGGAGAAGGGUACUAAGGUGAACAAUCUUAGUACUUGACGGUACUACAGGAGGAAGCCCAGGCUAACCUCGUG
rnacentral:rRNA from 1 species